rnacentral:piRNA from 1 species
UACAUAUUAGAAGAAAGUUGGUGAGUUCU